CAACACUCGACUUCCUGGGCCCAGCCCGUGGAAGUCGGCAUUGGGGAUCGGCAGCACACCGCCGGCCCUGAAAUGGAGUGGCGGCCCGUCCGCGGCGACCUCUGCGUAGUAAUUCAACUCGCACUGGAACCCCGACGCGGCCACGCCGUUAAACCCCCAACUUUACAA
rnacentral:misc_RNA from 1 species